UCGAAAGAAAGGCAAGCUGGGUUACAGCAGCUCAGCCUGAAUCGACACACACACACACACACACACACACACACACACUAUCUCUCUCUCUCUCUCUCUCUCUCUCUCUUUCUCUCUCUACAUUCAUACCCUGGUACUCACUAACAAUCUUCCCCGCUAUCCCCCUAUUUUUGUCUCUAACAAGCCUCAAUGCUUUAGAUUGAGCUGCUUCAACCCCUGGAUGGCGGUCUCAUGCGAGCCAGUACAUCAACUUCAACUUUCCUCAUUUUCUAAAUACACGAAGCCUUCAUUUUCACGCAUGAUUAAUAACAAAUGGACUGUUAUCUUCUUGGGGACGGCUGGCCAAAUACGACAGGAGACACUACAAGAUUCGAUAAGCAGCCUGUUUAGCGAUAGUGGAGGGGUGAAUGAAAGAAAGCUUGGAAAGAGAGAUGAAGCAGGGACUAGUCACACUCUACAUGCGCUGCAUGGCAUAAAGGAGCAGAGUGCGCAUUUCCUGAUACGUGCAGACAAAGUGUGGCAGUUUGAAAGCUAUUUAACACUGAUUGGAGCCCUUUCUGCUCUUCGCCAGAGAGAAUACCUCUUCAGGUGCCGGUGUCGAGCAUCUCUGAUACACGCUGCGCCUCCUCCAUGCUACGAGACCCUCCCCUGAUCAGUCAAGGUUGACAGAGAAGGCCUUUGUGCGACACUCCAAGGAACAGAUGUCUGCCUGAGAGAGCAGUUCACCUGGAGCCGCGCUGGAUUACCCAUGGCCUCGCUUUGAUGGAUUAGCAUGUAUGGAAAUUGCCCGAUUAUUGAUAUGAAAAUAUUUGCAAACGAGGGGAAACUGGUGAUGUGAGGGGUGAGGGGUGCGAAGACGCUAAGAGAGCUUAUCAGCCUUCCUUCCAACCUUGUCCCUCGCUUCCUACAGAAAGAGGAAAAAAGAAGAGGGGUAGAAAAGACAGAUGAGGGCAUAGGGAGGAGAAAGAGAGCUGCUGUGUGUCAGCGUGGCAGUAUUCAGCUGCCCUUCAUGAAAUAUUGUUCACCAUUAUAUUAACAGAGCUGAGUGGAGAGAGAUAAGAGAGCUUCUGAAAUAGUAAGCAGAAUGUCCUGAGGAGAUAUUUCAAUCUUUAUUCUCUGUCACUCUCUCUCUCUCUUUUUCUCCCUCUCACCCCAUCUUUUUCUUUCAUUUAGGGCAACGGGUGAAUGUGAAAUGUGCCGAGACCUUUAUAAAUGAAGACAGGGCUGGAGAAAUGAUGACAUCAUCAACUCCCACAUAAUUGCUUGAUUUGU